UGAGGUGCGAAAGCGUGGGAGCAAACGGGAUUAGAUACCCCGGUAGUCACGCCGUAAACGAUGUCUACUAGCCGUUGGAGGACUUGAUCCUUUAGUGGCGCAGCUAACGCGAUAAGUAGACCGCCUGGGGAGUACGGUCGCAAGAUUAAAACUCAAAUGAAUUGACGGGGGCCCGCACAAGCGGUGGAGCAUGUGGUUUAAUUCGAAGCAACGCGAAGAACCUUACCUACUCUUGACAUCCAGUGAACUUUUGAGAGAUCAAUUGGUGCCUUCGGGAACACUGAGACAGGUGCUGCAUGGCUGUCGUCAGCUCGUGUUGUGAAAUGUUGGGUUAAGUCCCGUAACGAGCGCAACCCUUGUCCUUAGUUACCAUCAUUAAGUUGGGGACUCUAAGGAGACUGCCGGUGACAAACCGGAGGAAGGCGGGGACGACGUCAAGUCAUCAUGGCCCUUACGAGUAGGGCUACACACGUGCUACAAUGGCAUGUACAAAGGGUUGCCAAGCCGCGAGGUGGAGCUAAUCCCAUAAAGCAUGUCGUAGUCCGGAUUGGAGUCUGCAACUCGACUCCAUGAAGUCGGAAUCGCUAGUAAUCGUGAAUCAGAAUGUCACGGUGAAUACGUUCCCGGGCCUUGUACACACCGCCCGUCACACCAUGGGAGUGGGUUGCUCCAGAAGUAGAUAGCUUAACCUUCGGGAGGGCGUUUACCACGGAGUGAUUCAUGACUGGGGUGAAGUCGUAACAAGGUAACCGUA
rnacentral:rRNA from 1 species